GGGGGCAACCCUGGCGACGAGUGGCGAACGGGUGAGUAAUACAUCGGAACAUAUCCUGUAGCGGGGGAUAACCUGUCGAAAGAUAGGCUAAUACCGCAUACGAUCUACGGAUGAAAGCGGGGGACCGCAAGGCCUCGCACUAUUGGAGUGGCCGAUGUCAGAUUAGCUAGUUGGUGGGGUAAAAGCCUACCAAGGCGACGAUCUGUAGCUGGUCUGAGAGGACGAUCAGCCACACUGGAACUGAGACACGGUCCAGACUCCUACGGGAGGCAGCAGUGGGGAAUUUUGGACAAUGGGCGCAAGCCUGAUCCAGCCAUGCCGCGUGAGUGAAGAAGGCCUUCGGGUUGUAAAGCUCUUUCGGUGAAGACGAAACGGUUAGCGUUAAUAACGCUGACUAAUGACGGUACUCACAGAAGAAGCACCGGCUAACUACGUGCCAGCAGCCGCGGUAAUACGUAGGGUGCAGGCGUUAAUCGGAAUUACUGGGCGUAAAGCGUGCGCAGGCGGUCUGCUAAGACAGGUGUGAAAUCCCCGGGCUUAACCUGGGAAUUGCGCUUGUAACUGGCAGGCUAGAGUGUGGCAGAGGGGGGUGGAAUUCCACGUGUAGCAGUGAAAUGCGUAGAUAUGUGGAGGAACACCGAUGGCGAAGGCAGCCCCCUGGGUUAACACUGACGCUCAGGCACGAAAGCGUGGGGAGCAAACAGGAUUAGAUACCCUGGUAGUCCACGCCCUAAACUAUGUCAACUAGUUGUCGGGGAAGAAAUUCCUUGGUAACGAAGCUAACGCGUGAAGUUGACCGCCUGGGGAGUACGGCCGCAAGGUUAAAACUCAAAGGAAUUGACGGGGACCCGCACAAGCGGUGGAUUAUGUGGAUUAAUUCGACAACGCGAAAAACCUUACCUACCCUUGACAUGCUAGGAAGUCCGCAGAGAUGUGGACGUGCCCGAAAGGGAACCUAGACACAGGUGCUGCAUGGCUGUCGUCAGCUCGUGUCGUGAGAUGUUGGGUUAAGUCCCGCAACGAGCGCAACCCUUGCCAUUAGUUGCGACAUUUAGUUGAGCACUCUAAUGGGACCGCCGGUGACAAACCCGAGGAAGGUGGGGAUGACGUCAAGUCCUCAUGGCCCUUAUGGGUAGGGCUUCACACGUAAUACAAUGGUCGGUACAGAGGGCUGCCAACCCGCGAGGGGGAGCUAAUCCCAGAAAGCCGAUCGUAGUCCGGAUUGUAGUCUGCAACUCGACUGCAUGAAGCCGGAAUCGCUAGUAAUCGCGGAUCAGCAUGUCGCGGUGAAUACGUUCCCGGGUCUUGUACACACCGCCCGUCACACCAAGGGAGUGGGUUCCACCAGAAGUAGGUAGCCUAACCGCAA
rnacentral:rRNA from 1 species